UUUUUUUUUUUGGUAUUUUAGGGCAGGGAAAUGAAGCUGAAUUGGAAUCGUGCCCGUGACAGGGGUGGGUCGCCUGCUCCGUCCUUGUCUUCCGGUGCGUGCGUGUCCUCCUAUCUCUCUCUCUCUCUCUUUUGUUUUGUUUUCAGAAUCUCUGCCGUGUCUAAAUUAUCGCUACCAGUGUGGUACGCAUGUGAAUUGUUUCGCUUUCCUUCUUAACAAAUCGCGUUGGGUGACGUCACCCCAGCGGCGAAGCUGGCAUGUGAUGCUUGCUUGCUGAAAAUAAUCCGGCACGGAGAUUUCGGCGUCGAUCAGGCCGUUUCAGGUCCUCGAGUGUUAGGAUCUUGUAUCGCUCAUGCAGUUGGGGCUUGGCUGGGCUGGCGUAUAGUCCACUGUUGUAUGCACAGCGCAUGAUUGAAUGCGUUCGCUCUUCGCUGUCCAUCAUACAGCCAUCGAGAACAGUAGGAAAGUACGUGUGCGUAUUUAUAGCUAUAGCCUUUGGAGCACGGACGUACAACUCACGGUCACGAGCCUGCUCAUGAGUAACCUGACUUCCCAAGAAAGAAAGGAAGGAGGAGACAUGCACACCCAUGCGUUGCGAUCAUGGAUUCAUGGUUGCCCCCCUCGCCAUCCGCUCAGAAAUGUGUGUUUCUCUUCACGGCUUCGAAAGUUCGUGUUUCUCUCUCAUCAUCCAUGCAUGCGCACGCGCAGAUCUCAUGCCGGGCCAUGAUCACUGUCGCGAGAAAGAUGUCCAGUUCAUCCGUUCAUGCCCCCAUCGAGUUUGACGGCGUGGUGGGUAGGCGGUAGGACAGACCGACAAAGCCACCAGAGAUGAACAGAAACUAAAAUUUUUACUGGGGUGGUGAAGUGGUAUAGCCCAAACUGAGACGGUGCCCCCGGCCGUCAGGCGACCUGGCACGGCAGGCGAACCCGAACGUCCGCUCCGUGCGCCGAGGACGCUCGCCGCGCGCGGCAACCUCCUGGGGCUACGGCCCCCUCGCCGUUCGCGUGUCGAGCCACCGGGCGCUCGCUCAACUGCCAACCGCGCGCGGCGCGGCGCGUGCGCCACGCCCUGGGAUGAAGAUGCCGUGCCGGUGCCGGUGCCGGUGCCGCGCCCGCUCCCCGUCCAAGAUUUUCCGUUGCCUCGCCCGAGGAUAUUGCGGGGGGUCACUGGGCACGGCACGGUACGGGCACUGGCGCGGUGCGCUUUGAGCAGAGACGCAGAGUGGCCGGCCGGGAAGCAAGGCAUCCAGGCGCCCGCGCCGCUGGAGUCCUGGACUCGCGUCGCGCGGCAGCCCACGGCCCCUGCCCGGUGGCGCCGCGCCGCAGUAACUUUGUCUUUACAUUGAUGGAUGCAGGUGAUGGGCUACAAGACUGUAAAAAUUCAUGUACAGUAGCAUUGUACCGCUUCUGCACUGGUAGCUUUCUUAAUCACGUGCCUAGGAUCCGACAUUAAUCCCCCGAACAUGUGCGACAUGUUAAAGACCGCGACGCUGCCCUGCCCCCCAUGUGCGCUGCUUCCACACAUCUCUACAGUUCCGCAGCAGCACACGGAGAUCCAAAUUCACUACGCUCCCCGGACGGACCCACCCGUUCGUGAAUCCACCCGGGUACGGUAAAAAUCAGUGCCGCUACACGACCAUCUACGGCAUACGCGUUCGUACAUGUACUAGCUGGGGUAGUAUCCGUAUCGCCAUCGUGAGUAGCGCACAACCGACGGGCGUGAGGUGACGUGGCUAGCUACCUCGACGACAUGCUGGCGUUGCUCGACGUGAAGCUGCUGACGCCGCAGCUGGAGCCGGACGCGCCCAGCGCCGCCGGGUCCUUGGGGCCCUUCUGGUACUGCGCCUCCCGGUGGUCGGCGAAGGACAGGAACGACCGGAUGCUGCUGCGGUGGCCGGAGCGGGAGAUGGCGGUGCCGUCGGCGGCCGAGGCGACGUGGCGGGAGUACUGGCGGACGAGCACGCAGGCGUGGAUGGCCAGCGCGGCGGCGCAGGCCACGCCGCAGAUGAGGAACAGCGCCGAGAAGCUCUGCACCUCCAGCGGGGCCGACUGCAGGUUGGUGGUGGCGGACUCCGACGACGACCCCACCGACAGCCACUUGUCGUGGAUCCUCUGCAGGUCGCCGUUCUCAGACAGCGCCAGGAUCGCCGUCGACAGGUCCACCGCCAGCGGCGAGUCCCGCGGGAACGCCUGCCCAGAGACCCAACAAGACGAGUGCUCAGCCAUGGAUGGUAUCAUCAGAAACGUUUGCAUCAUCAUCAGAAAAAAAAAAAAAAGGUUCAGCGAAUCGCCCGACUCACGAAGCCCCAGCCGCUCUUGGUGAACUCGGCCCCCACGAUCGCGAACUUGUCGUGGUUGGUCAGGAAGAGCUCGACGUACGGGCGCUCGUCGACGAUGGCCACGACGCCGCCCUUGCGAGGGCCGAGCUCCAACGCAGCCUCGUACUCGUCCGGGGAGCCGAGCUUCCUGAGCCUCGACGGGGACACGCCGAGCUCGUGGACGAGGUAGCUCUCGGCGAAGGAGCCCACCUGGAACCCGAUGGGCUCGUCGCUGGCGAUCAAGCUGUCGAUGCCCCUGAUCGGGGACGUGAGCUGCUGCACGGUGAGGAUGGAGGUCAGGUUGGCAGUGUAGCUGGACUGAAUGAUCAGGACGACGAAGAGCCAGAUGAUGAUCACGAAACGCCCCAGCGUGCUCCUGGUGUCCUCUCCUGUAAAAAGAGUAGAUGCAGAGUGACUCUUUUGAGUUUGCUCGGAAAGGUUUUCAUCUCGAUUCGUAUGCAGAAAUGUGAAGAGCUGCAUUUCACUUACUGUGGGCAAAGAACAGAGUUGAGAAACUGAACCUGCAAAAAGAGAAUGUAGCAUGUUAAGAUGCAAACGAAAUUGAUGGUUCCAGAAGAAGCAGAGAAAUGCUUGCAGCAAGCGAAAUUGAUCUGACUAUCCUUCCGACUCGUCUUUUUUUUUAAAAAAAAUGACACUAAACGAUGCCUAGCGUGACGGAAAUUACACAGAUCUUAAGUAGGUGACCUUACCAGAAUACAGUAAUAACCUGUUUCACUGGAGGACCGCGGAAGUCAUCAUUGAUUCUGUGCUCGAGCAACCAAAUCACCGUUCCCACGAUCAGAAAGAACACUCCUGUGACCAACCACAUUCUGAUGGUAAACGGCUGCAGGAAAGCCCAUCCGUUGGAGCCCUGCGGCUUAACAGAGGUAAGUAUGACAAGCCCGGACCCGACAUAUGGUUGGGUGAAAUCAACAAGCCUUGUCCGAUUUGUGACAAUAGCUACAUCACCAACAACAGCAUCAAAUUCCUAGCCAUAAGAAAAAGGAUGACUGUUAUAACAAGACUUAGUGACACAUUAACCAUAAAGUGUUCAUUUUAGAAACAGAACUUACAUUCGUCACAAUUUGAUUGAUAAGCUGUGUAUAGCUUGGAUUCUCAAGGCCAUUGCCAAAAGGUAUAAACCUAUAUGCAACUGGGUAUUGCAGUAGGUUUAUUGCAGCAGCAAACACAUCAAUACAUAACCCGCCCACCAUUCCAGUCUGAUUGUCAUCUGAUACAAAUUGACGGUAACUUACCCUAUUGGGGACUCCAAUUCUCAGCUCGUCUCCAUUGUUAGCGAAUACCCAUCCUCGGGGCCUUUUUAUAGUCUCACCUGGCCAGAUUGCAGUGUGUAGUUUCUGAUUUUCAAUAGUGUCAUUGGGUGGUUUCUUGUAAAGAGUUUCAGGGGACACAAUGGACAGCCCAGAGUAGUUGGACCAAUAACCAAUUGUCCGCAGACCAGACCCUAUUAUGUUUAUAAUGUCAUACGCAGGAUUGAUAAGAUUACCAUCUGAAUCCAGUUUUACAGUGCCAGUUGCGCCCAUGAAAUUUACUUUGCGAAUUCUUUCCAGUAAUAGCAUUCCCCCAUCAAAGACGGUCAAUGCAUCCAAAUUCAAAGCUCCUCCUGAAACUGCAUGCAGUCUGGGGUCUGGAGAGAAGGAAAUGUUUCCACCACCAUUGAAAAAUGCAUCCAACGCAUAAGCAAGCAUCCAGACUGUAUCAUAAGCAUAAAGGCCAUAGGAAUUGAGCAAGAACCUGCUGCCACCACUAUCCUCCUUAACAAGUGUACUCCAUUGAGAAACUAGUGUCUUCUUCCUAUUGGUAUUUCCUGUGUGUUGACGCAAUGUGAGAACACCCUGCAUUGUGCUCAGUAAUCCACUAUCAAGACGCGGGGCAGAAUCGAGGGCUGCACUGAGCCAAUCUGUAGCAAUCCACACAUAUCCACCGGAUGUCAUGGUAAGAUUGUACGCUAAUGAGAACACGUCAAGCCCAGUGUGAUCAUAUGCAUGCAAUACAAAAACCCGGGACUCCAUCAUUGCAGCUUUGACCAGUACAGCAGCUAUUUCACUCUUCUUUGCUCCUGGCCUAAUUGCAGCUUUAUGCAAGAUCUUCAAUCUUCUCUUGGCAAGCUCAUCGCCUAAGGUGGAUAUGCCAUUUCUUCCAUAAUCGUCAUCAAUAUAUACUGCUGUCACCAUCUUCCACCCAUAGUAAUAAACUAAGUCUGCAACUGAAGCCAUUUGAAAUUGAUCACUGUGGAUAGUACGCACAAAGAAAGGAUACUGAAGUGAUGUGAGAGUCGGAUCAGUUGCAGCAAAAGACAUCAAAGGUACUUGGAGUUCAUUUGCAACAUGGGAUAUGACAUGCGCAACGACUGAAGAUUGGGGGCCGAUGAUUGCAACUGUAUCUUUCUCCAUGAAUUGCAAGGCUAGGCAAGACAAAGGGAUAAGGAGUCAGUCGUAAGGCACCAUGUGGAUUGUAUUUUUGUCACAAAAAGUGAGUGUUAUUGGUCCAGUGGUAGACAGACCUUGCUCAAAUAAAAAUGGCAGAGAGACAUGAAGGAGUACCUUGAACAAUGCCAAUGAAGCCACUGGAAUUGGUAUCUUGCAUCUGAACAACCAGCUUUGUGCCCGAGAGAACACGUGAAUCAUUGUUGAUGUCAUUGACUGCAGCAGCAAUGGCAACCUUUGCAACUCUCCCAAUAAUCGAAUCGAAUGUGAAAAGAGCUCCAAUGUUCACAACAUCAGGUCCCACAGAAAUAUUCUGCGCAAGUGUGCAAUAGCACAGACAACUGAAAAUGCCCAAAAUAUGGAGCAUGGACUUCAUGUUUAGUCCAGAUUCCAAAGGAUUAAUGGGGUGUUCUUUAGGAGUCCAUCCUUCAGCUCAACAUCAGAUACGCUGAAGAACCAAAAGAAAAUUUCAGAAUGACGCCUGUUAGGUAGAUACUUUCACUACCCAAUGACUCAAAACUAUCUUCAAGAAAAAUUCAGGCAUUUACAUGAUGAACUGCAGCCACAGGUUACAACUUUGGAAUGGAUAUCAAUUAUGAGGGGAGGAUAUAUCGCCUCGCGCAGCGAUAUGAAUUUGGGGCUCAAGAGCAAAAGAAAUGGGCACUCCCGGUGGGAAAUAAGAAGGGGAAUUUCGUAAAAAUAAACAAAGAAAAACACCAUCAAAACAAAAUUUAAAACAUGCUAUUCCGACCCUAUGGAGCUACAGAAAUGAAGCAACCUCUCACCUUAAGAUUUGCCCAUGAGUAAACAGAAUAACGAGCCAAAUUAGAACAGAAACCUAAGGAUGAGCUGAGAUGGGCUUGACCGCGGAAUUCUUUAUGUGAGCUCGAGGGGCAAGAAGAUCAGCUAUGAGGCAGACAUGGGACUAAAUCUUGUUUUUGGAGAUAACAACUGGUUGAAUCCAAAAGCGUGGAGCAUGCAGGAUUCGCAAAUAGUUGCCCCACCCCUGGAACCUCUCCCCCUUUUGGUUUUCUUUUUGUGAGUUGAGGCAUGGUUCCUCUUACCGCCAGUUGGCUCCGGAGCAGCCAGUAGCUUCCUCUCGGAUGGCACGAGAUAGAUGUGAGGGACCAGUGGCCCGUGUGAACGAGAACCACCCUGAAGGCCCCGGAAUGCUGCACGCCACCGAUAUACAUGUUUAAAUUCGUCAGGCUAUCAUGGCAGUGGGCAGUGGCAGAUUCUUGGAGCCCAUGCACUGAACAUUUUCCCAGCAUCAGUGUCCAGUUUGCACAGAAAAAAGCAAGAUACUUGGGAGUGCCUACUGCCUAGGUAUCACAAUCCCGACCUGACAUGAACAAACAGGUCAGCAAGACGGAUUUUUUUUAUUUCAGAAAUAUUCAGGUCCUCAUGUCGAACAUGUGACUGGGAGUAGGCACGGAGUAGAGAACUUAGAUGCACGCCUUCUUUAGUUACCCAAAAUCCCAACUUUGUCACUAUAUAAAAAAAAGAUUCUCAUCACAUCAAACUUACGGUACAUGCAUGGAGUACUGGAUGUAGACGAAAUAAAAAACUAAUUGCACAGUUUGGUUGUACUUUGCGAGACGAAUCUUUUGAACCUAAUUAGUCAAUAUUUGAAAAAUAUUUUACAAAUACAAACGAAACGCUACAGUAUGCUACAGUGCUGGCGUAAUAAUUUUGGACAAUUAAAAUCGGGCAACUAAACAGGCCCGCAGGCCUGUCGAAAAUCCCGUCGUACAGAAGUAUCUGUGAUUUGAGGUGUGUUACUAUUCAAUUUCAAAGAUACAAGUGAGAUGUUUCCAACGGGGCAUGUGCUAGACUGCUAUUUGUAGUAGCCUAGUACUCCGUACCUGAGGGUAUCGAACAUGAGCGUUUGGGUCAUUGGAUGGAGCAGGUACCUUGGCAACGCCAGCCACAUGCCAUCCCUGGAAAGGCCGAAAGCAGCACCAGCAUCGGUGGAGCCUGGCAGCGCGCUGGUGACAAAAGUAAGGGGGUGUUUGGAACACUCAGAUGUUUUGAUACUAAUUAAGAGUAUUGAAUGUAGUCUAAUUAUAAAACUAAUUGUACAGAUGGAAUCUAAUUUGCGAGACGAAUCUAUUAAGCCUAAUUAGUCCAUGAUUUGAUAAUGUGGUGCUACAGUAACCAUUUGCUAAUGAUGGAUUAAUUAGCCUUAAUAGAUUCGUCUCGCGAAUUAGACUCCAUCUGUGCAAUUAGUUUUGUAAUUAGCUCAUAUUUAGUCCCAAUUAGUAUCCGAACAUCCGAUGUGACCCUGCUAAAGUUAGCACCUCAUAUCCAAACACUCUCUAAUAGACAUUGAAGACGAUGCUGGGCCAGCCAUCACAUCUAUGAAGUUGAAAUCUACAGCAGCGUUCUCUGAUUAAAUUCCCUAGUUUCUUAGGGGGUGUUUGGAUCCCCAAGCUAAAUUUUAGUCCCUGUCACAUCGAAUGUUUAGAUACUAAUUAGAAGUAUUAAACAUAAACUAUUUACAAAACCCAUUGCACAGAUGGAGGCUAAACAGCGAGACAAAUCUAAUUAGUCCAUUGAUUUGACAAUAUAAACCAUUUGCUAAUGAUGAAAUAAUUAGGCUUAAUAGAUUCGUCUUGCCGUUUAGCCUCCAUCUGUGUAAUUAAUUUUAUAAAUAACUCAUAUUUAAUCCUCCUAAUUAACCUUCGAAUAUUCAAUAUAAUACGGACUAAACUUUAGCUCCAAAAUCCAAACACCCCCUUAUCAUCGGGUCAAGAUCACCAAUAACUUCUACGAAAGGAUCAAAACGUACUCCUUUUGUUUUGCAUGCCUUGUCCUAGCAGCACUCAUCGCAACCCCCGGUUUUAAAUACGGACCAAAUGGUUAGCAGAGGUCAAAAACCACGUGAGCAUAUCGGAAAUGACAUUUACUCUAUAAUUGGCAAUCAAGCUUACAUCUUACAUUAGUUGCCAUAAGAAAUAACUUCCCUUUCAGCUCAAGAUGUAUGUUACAACACCCGAAGAUUCCUAGAGAUAACUUAAGGAAAUCAAACUACAAAUAGGAAGCACACAACAAUCCAAUGCUAUCCCCAACAAGCCAACUGCCUAAUAGUUGGAGAUCACUCAGGAUCUCCUUCUCAGGCCUCCACCCGCAACCUUUUGGACGGUGUGCUGUCGCUAGCCCCUACAGUCUCGAUAGUUUCAUUGCCUUCAACCAUAGUGGCUACGGUGCUAUUGGAUGGGUCCCCGAAGGUCCAUCCAGGAAAAUCUGAUCCUUGAAAUAACGAAGUUGGUGUGGUUCUGUAGAAUGCAAGGGGAACCUGUUUUAUCCGUCGCCGUACCUACAAUUCAAAAUUCAAGAUUUGUGAUUUUUCUGGGAAAUUUCUAGUGAUAAUUAACAAUGGACACUCAAACGGCAACAGAUAAUAUGGAAGUUCAGCUCUGGCUUGAAGUUUUCUACAAAGACAAGUUAAACAAAGGACAAGAGAUGGUUCUGGUGGAUACAGUUCAAACUAUCAGGCACAUCAUCAGGUGAUUUCCAUAUUAGUUCAUGAACCAGGCAGUCAUAUAUCCACUACCGUUGCAUACUAAUGGCAGGGGCCAUAAUUCUUUCGCCUCUACGUGUUUGAUAAGGAACUGAUUACUGCUGCAAUUUUCGCUAAAGCGCCUAAAUAUUGCUAUGUCCCAAACUAAACCCAGACAUUCCCUUUGAGCCCAAUAGAUGGGACGAGUAACUUACUUCAUGGUACAGUGAAAUGUGCAUAUGUACCUCAUCCAUAAUACAUUAGUAGAAAGUAGAUAUGCACCCAAACAUCCAGUGCUUGUGGUUGAAGGUAGUGAAGGCAUACCUCAUCUCUAAAAACUGUAGCAUAGGAGCCUGAACUAAAGUCCGUUAUUUUCAUCUCAGUAGUUUUGGCCCUGACAGUGAGAUCCUCCUCAAGUGAUGCAACAAAUCUGAGAGUACCUCAAGAAAAUGAGCCAACAACAAAGGAAACUGCAUAGAAAUCAAGACAGCAGGUUGCCUUCCUGUUACCUAGAAACUGCAGGAGAGUAAUGAUGCCGGAGCGUGUCUAUUUCCCACAAAGAACUUCCUGUAGCAUGAUACACAGGAAUCAAUUCACAAAAAGUAUCAUUAGAAAAGAGUGUGUUUUAGACACAAGUAUGUAGACGCACUAGCAUAUCAACUUGCAGGUGCAGGUGCAUCCACAAGACUACUUGCUAUGGAUGUAGCUUUAGACUGUAGUUUAGAAGAAGAGAAAAUGGGAUAAUUGUCAUUAUCUCACCACUGCUCCUAAACCAUGACGUACAAUAGUCAUUUAGUUGGGUCCAAAAAUGCCAUUACAACAAGAUAGCGUCAGUCAAGGAUCAUUUCAUUUAAGUUCCCACCAGUUUUUCAGCUGUCCACUGAUUGCAGUAUUAGUUGAUGGCACCUUACGAUAUGCAUCAAAGAAACGAACCUUGACACCUCAUGAAAACUCGGAUAUUUUAUAGCAAAAACAAGACAUACCCAGUUGAAAGCUCCCGUGCCAGGUGGGGUCUAGAGUAAGGAAUUUAUAGCAGGUGUACCAUUAAAAAUACAAAUACUAAAGGUAGAAGUAUAGUAUAGAUAAAACUAUAAGCACCAACAUGCUUCCUCUAUACAUUCUCCUUUUAAAAUAAAGGAAGAAAAGACAAAAAAAAUACAUCACCACCAUAUGAGCCAAGUUAUAUUUCUUCUUUUAAGAAAACUAUAGGUUCUAUAGGUACUCUUCAUGGUAGGUUUAUUAGGUGUCACUGUGUCAGUAUACUACAAAAAGGAUGCCACAAAAAAAAAAGAAAGAAGAAAGAAAGAAAGAGAAAGAAAGAAAGAAAGAAAGAAAGAUGUGAAUUCAUGCAUAUAGCUCUUCUGCUUUCUAUUUCAGAGUUCUAUCGCUUCCUGUUUCAGUGUCGCUCCUUCAUCUAGCCAUCAAGCUGGUUAUCUUAAAAAACGACACGCUUUGAGAUCGAUAGAAGCGUAACUGGAGCUCAUAGAAUGAUUUUUCAGGUGAUUGCUUGUCAUUUAGGAUCGCAAAGGAAAGAACUGAAGAAAGAAAAGAUGAGGCAACACAUGUUCGAUAUGAUUAAAUACAUACGCAUUGCACCAGACUUUGCAGGGUCUGCCUCAUCAUUGUUGAAAGGAUCAGCACCGAUCUUCUUAGGCUGACUAGCUUCUCUUGCAUUGCUGUCAUUUUCAUCCACUUCCUGGAAGAAAAUCCAUAGCAUUGGGAUUAACUUAUGGGGCAACAAAAUACUUGCAGGGCUGCAGUUUGAAUAUUAAGGUCACAGUGGUGUAUGCACACCGGAAUCAAUAGGGAUCAGACACAUGCAGUACAACUAUAGAAGGGUCUAGAAGUUAACAUACCCAAUGGACCAAAAAAUUAAUUGAGGGAUGUCUCCGCAGCAGAUUAUGAAUUAAAGCAAUAAUAAUAAGAGCUCCAGCUGGUGGAACUGAAAGAGCAAGUCUGCUCAAUCUUUUUGCAAAUGCAGCAGCAAGAUAUGCAGGAAGAUAAGAAGAUUUCAGGCAUGUGUCAAGAAGCUGCAAGAAAACAAGUCAAAGGUAAGCAUGAUAGCCAAAACUAUAAAGGUAAGAAUAAGAUAACAAUACUUACAAAGAGAAUAAACGAACUCUAUUUUAAGAUUCAGUGGCAUGUAUUAUGGAUAACUUGUAUGUUUCUAUGUGAUUGGUCUAGUCAUAUGGUAAAUUCAUAGCACAAAAUCAUGGGUGCCUUUCUCUUUGCUCCCCGCCCAUCAUAAGCCUUGUCCACAACUAGAGCAGCAAUGCCGCAACGGACACAAAAUCCAAGGUCUUUGUCAGGUUUGUCAAGCAUCAGGAUUAACUAAUAAACUACUAGUUUAGUCUACCACAGUUGUAGGUUACUUGCGCAUGGAUAAUUAUAUAUGCCUGCUGCUAAAGUCCACAUUAAGAUGGUACAUCUCAUCAUUGUUCCACCUGAAAAUAGUUACAGCCUAAGCUGGCAAUCUUAUCGCUGGGUAUGUAUAAUUAUUUAUGCCUGCUGCUAAAGUCCACAUUAAGAUGUAUAUUUCAUCAUUGUUCCACCUGAAAAUAGUUACAGCCUAAGCUGGCAUUCUUAUUACUGGGUAUGAGCAUGAAUGCGGUGCUCUGUGGCUCCAGUCAUUUUAAGACCUUGAUACAACAUCUUCACAUUAGAGUGGAACUUUAUGACCCUUUUCAGUCCACAGAAGUUGAUUUGUCAUAAGAAAUGUGAUCUACCAUACUUGAAUAGGAACCAUAAUGAGGAAGGUCACCCUUUUUCCACUUACUUGCAAGAACACUGACCGGUGUUUUGCCAUAAAAACAGCAGGAGUCAGUAGUGCAUAAAGCUUUUCAUAGAACUUUGGAUAUUCCAGACCGUGUUGUGUCAUAAGAAUGAAAAGGCCACUUAAGGCCAUCACGCUGAUAACACCACCAAUGUCAUAUGAUCUAGUCAAGAAAUCGCUGUGGCAGAAAAAAAAUUAUACAGGUUACAAGAUUUCUGUCAGUGAAAUGUUGAAUUGAUACGUAAACAAUACAGAAAUCCCACAACCUACCAUAAAAUGGCAGGGUUUGACAUUGAAGGAAUGACAUUUUGAUGAAUUGAAGCAAGGACCUGCAAGUAAGAAAAACAUACUCAAGGCAGGAAAUCAUUGCCAACAAUGAAGUGGUGUUAACUUAGAUGAACAAAAGUAGACAAUAAUAUACUGGAAGAGAACAGCUUUACCUCCUUGUACACAUCAAGUGGUAAUGGUAACUUGAGAAAGGACAGCCAUGCUUUGGUGAACUUCAAUUUUAGUUUUUUCUUGAUGUAAGAAGAAGAAGAGUCCUACAGAAUUCUAACACUUAAUACCAAGAAAUUUUGAGCUUAAAUGUCACUUUACUUUCUGAAGUAUAUAUGAAGUACCUUAGAAGAGUCUUUUUCUCCUUUAGAUGAAAGACCUUCAAAAGCCAAGUGUAAGAACACUAAUCACAACUUAGUGCAUACAUGCACGAACACAUACAAACAUAAUUUUCAAGCCAUAGAAUAAUGUAAAUGAGAGUAAUUUUCUAGGUACAAAAAAAUACAUGAAAUACUAUUGUAGAUGAGAGGAAGUUGAGACUAAGAAAUACUCACCAACAGUACUCCACAUUUCAAAUGUUGAUUCCUUUUGAUAAUCCAUCACAGGAACACGAACCAAGAGAUUGUAUAUAUUGUGUAUAAAAAUAGCACAUCUGUUAAGCAAAGAGAAGAGCACAAUAAGACAAAAACUAUAAACCAAAGAAUAUGAUCGAAGGCGUCAAUGGAGCAACAGUCACAUAUUACGGGUUGUAUGGGGGGUUGUAUGGGUCUGUGGACAAUGCGCAGUUAUGUUGUACAUGAUCCACAUCAAUGAUCAUAAGCUACAGAUUGACAUUCCAGGGCUAAAAACUAUGACUUACAGCUUCCUAUAAAUGACUUGAAUGCAGAAGUCCAGAAUGAAAUACAAGCAACAAAUCAACAUACUUUGUCCGGACAUGUUAAUUGCCUAAAACCAGGAAAUUAGAACUGAAACAUUAACACCUAAACACAAGACUUGCCUACCCAUGUUCUUUCAAAAGGAAGCAUGAGCUGAAUUUGUUGUACAUGUGUUUGUAAUACAACAUUAGAUAUGGCACAUAAAUGCAGGUUUAUGUGACGUCAUGGUGAGUUUGAGUGUGUGAGAAUCACUGAAGUUAUUUUUGCAAGUAUCAAACCAAUAAGGUUUAGGAUAUGUAUCAUGUAAAAGAAAGCAUACUUGUUUUCUGAUCCAUCGCUUCCAUUCUGCAAGGCAUCCUUUCCAGAGUCUGAACAGAACAACAAAAAGGUAACGAACUAGUAGAGAUGCCGAACUAUGCAAGUACUUUGAUCAAACGAGGACUGAGGGAGUACCAGUGGUUUUACUGCCCAGACUGUUGGCAAUCUUGUCUGCGCUAGAGUAAGUAAAGUAACUGCAGGAGCAAGUGUGUGGAAAUAAGCACAUCUUGAGAAAAUUCAAGUAAUAUAUUGAAAGUAUGCUCACAACUUACCAAACAUCAGUGUAUUUGAAGUACUUCGAUCCAAGCAACUCUAACAAAGGAUCAACGGAAUCAACAGCAUGAACCUGCAGAAAAAGGGAACGCAUAAGAUCAAACGCUGACACUCAGUCACUAAUCCUGGCUGCAGGCAGAGCAUUACUUGAGCAGAAACAAAUAUAAGUUAACAAUAAAGGAGCUCAGUUCUUACACACAGCAAUCUCAUCGAUAAUACGGGAAACCUAUGCAUUUCAAAGGCUAAAACCAAACAGCUGUAAAUGCCAUAACCAUAAGACAAUAGAAACUCACCACAGCAUGGAGAAACUUGUGGUAAAUUGCCGACUGGAACUUCCCGUCCUUUCCCAGCUUCACAAAAUCCAUGAGAGCAUCCAGUGCUACAUCCUACAGCGCAAAAAAGGUAAGCCAAAUUGCCAGUUCAUCUAAUUCCUCGACACACACCAGAUAAUAUGCUAAUAACAACAACUUCAAAACUCACCCUGAUCGCGUCAUCGCUGUGCGGCGACACGCUUAGCUCGACCAGCGCGGCAACGAGUUCAUCGAACCGCUGACGCAGCCAGGCCCCGAACACGAGCUCGGGGUCGCUGCCCGCAUGCCCCGCGGUGACUGCCGCAGAGGCGGAUGGAAUAGAGGGGAUGAGCGGGACGAAGAAGGACUGGAGCGAGAUGAGCGCCUCGAGGGCGAGGUCGAGCGGCGCGGAGGGGGAGAGGAGCGCGAGGAGGGCGGGGGCGUGGUUGAGGUGGGCCCGCGAGGAGAGGAGCUCGCGGCCCAGCGUCUUCACCUCAUCUAGGGUUAGAGCUCCACCUCUAGAACGCCGCUUCUUAGUGGCAGACGCGGUCGCCGCGGCCGACGACGAUUUCGCCAUGGCGGGAGGCGUGGGAGGCGGCGGCGCGAGGUUGGAGACUCGGGGGAAGAAGGAUUCUGGGGUUUAGGCUUACGGGCGAACCAGACCUUGUGUGGCCAAGUGUGCAGAAUGUCUUAUCAGUCCGGCCCAUGAAGUGGCCUAAUUGCGGCCCAUAACGGCCCGUCUAGUGAUUUGCCAACGCACGGCGGCCUUGCCUACUGAACUUGGGACAAGAGAAGCAGCAGUAAUCGAGCAAUUCACAAAUGUGGUGACUGUUGCCAAGCUAAGUGUGGAUUAGUGUGAAUGAAAUUCAGAGCAUUUUAUCCACUUGGAAAAUGACAAUAUGGUAUUUUUUUCUGUCCAUCCAUCUUUUAGACAUCUUUCCGUCUACCGCUUCAAGCUAGAACAUGCGAAAAGAAAAUGGCAAGUUCCUUCCAUGUUUUCAGAGAAGUAUAUUGAAGCAGACAUCCUGCUCAUCCAGGUAAGAGCAAUUGCAUGAUUGCAUCUGUACCUAUGCAACCGAGCCAUCCAUCCAAAUUGAUGCAAUCGAAAGCUCGGGUUACUAUGCUUGACUGAACAUCCAGGUAAAACAUUAGAAGCAAAAAGGACAACUGACAGCUGAGUCUUCUUUUCUCCGAUGAGAAGCAUAGCAUCAAGAGGUGCAACUCAUUUGCAGAAUUAUCAGUUCUUCUCAAAGAAUCAGAGUUCGAGGAUUCACGUAAAUAAAUUAGCUUUAUUCUUAAAUGAUUGAAACUUAUCAUCCAGGUCAGCAAUUAACAUUGUAACCUAUUACUAAUUAAGUAGUCAUGAGUCAUACUGUAGGUAGAAAUGAAAUUAUCAUGCCGAAGUUGGCAAAAGGAAAAACUAUAUGCUAAAAAGGUUAGGAGUCAACCUUUGAACUAAUUCUUCAAUCAAAAUACAUGGAACGAGUGAUAUCGCUUCCUUUUCUUGAUCCUCAGCAUGGUUUAUCGGUGUGAUGACAAAAGACUGCAACGUAAAUAAUUAAGAUGAUUAUACACAAGAUACAACAAGAACAGCAUGCCAUAAACCAGCUGAAAAUCAUUACCGUCUGAACUCAAUGUAGGAUAUAGAUUACCAUACCUGCAAUUUUGUGACACCCUCCAAGCUGAUGUCCACAAUCUUUUUAAAUUUGGAGGCAAGGGCAAAUAACUCCUCCAGUCCUCCAUCAUAAUCCUCAGAUCAUGAAUCUUGCUUCUCAACCCAAUGCAACAAUUAGCAUGCAUAGUGCAGACUGCAGACUUCAUUCAGAUCUCUGCUUGGUUCACAGAAUCCUCCAAAGUACUUUGUACUUAGAAACUUAAUUGUCAAUCCAAUGCCUACAAUGUAAGGAUCAUGCUUUAUAGCAUUGAAUACAUCCUGGUCAUGAUAGCCAGGAUACCUCAGUCGUGAUGAAUACCAGAAACUGUAAAACUCUAUGUUUCGUUCAUUUGAUUUCACAUAGCUGAAGCCUCCAUUAGCAAUGUUUCUCAAGUCAGUUGCGUUGCCGACGUAGUGGUCACAUGCAAUCUGAAAGUCUACAUCAGGAUAGAAAUGUGGGAACGGAUUGCGAAACCACAUUAUGUCUGCAUCCUAGAUUUCAUUGAAAAAGAAAGAUAAAUAAGACUACAAAAUUACUUUCGUUUCAUUAUUGAUACCUCAUGUAAUCAAGUUUCACAAACAAAUGACACCUGAUUCUUUCUCAAUUGCAAAAGGUGAAUAACUAUUUAUCAAAGUAAGUUAAUGUAUUACGAAUUUACCGAGAAUAUGAAGUUGUAACCUUUUUCAAGAACCAGCCGCAAGAAAUCUGGCCUUCUCCACAUCAUCUCCAGAUAUCCAGAAGUAAGAAACCUUUUCUCUUCGGAGAAAUCCACACCCUCAGUUCCCAGAGCAAAGCAAUAGGAAUGGAUUUUGACACAUUGCUCGUAUGCAUUCCAAUCAAAUGCUACAAUAACAAGGUGUUUCAACAGCAAACUUGUUCUAACACCAGAAUGAAAGCUGUCGAUGAAAAGAUCUAUCACUGAACCAGGAGAAGCCCAUGCAGCAUUAAGUGUAGUCAACAUAACUGUAUUAUCUCCCAUUGAAGCCUUCUUUAGGACUCGCUCAAGUUUGAGAUCUUCAGUGUCCUAAAAAGAUCAUUAUAUUAAUAUAAUUGUAGGACAAUGAAUAAAAACUAAAACACAACUGAUUUUCUGAGAGCAGGAGGGGCAUAGAAGUAUAGAGCAGACGCUAAAAUUGAACCAGAUAUUGCAUUGAAUACUGAGACAAGGCAAAGAUUUUAGCAUCAUCACUACUUAUUAAGUUCUUAAGCCUAGUUCACCAUUUCAUUUGCCAUCAUAAUCAGCAUUUCCAUAAUUCCAUGUGAACAACCAAUAACCAUUUGUGAUUAACUGAAAGCCAUACAUAAUUAUAACACGUAAGCUUCACAGCAAUGCCAUAGCUAAAUUGUUUGGCAUCGGCGCUUCGCACUCCAAAGUUGGGAAAACACCGCAAUCAUUAUGGGGAGAAAUAACAAAAAAAUGACUAGCAUAAAAACAAAAUGUUCCAAGAAAAGAAGAGACAAAAAUUUUGUUGCAGUUGGAUAAAUUUUACGCAGUGCAGGGAAAAACAAGCAGAUGAGACAACAAAUUCGUUGCAGUUGGAUAAAUUUUGGUUGUGUUCUAGUCUUCAUUAUUUCUUUAAGAAGAUAAGUAUUCCAAAAAAACAAUCAUUCUCAUCUAAACUUCUUAAGUCUGUCUCAGCACAUCUAAAACCACGGCCAACGGGUUUCAUUCAGUAAUCAGUUGCUUCAUCCAAAGUAAAUCCUCAAAGGCAACAAACAUAUGACACAACCACGAACUCUAAUUGCGCAAUUAAUCAACGGAUUGCACCCUGCAUGUCGUAAUGCACUAGAACCCUCUAUCAUACAGAAUAGUGGAUUGCCAAUUCUCAGCCCAAUUCGAGUCCCGGAACCAACGCCACAGUGCAAGUUUACCAAACUCGCAACGAAAUGGCAAAAUCGAAGCCACUAAUUGAAGCAGGAAGGAGGCGGGCUCACCAGAUCGUCGCCCUCCUCCUCCUCGGAUGAGACGGCCGAGGGUAGCGAGGUCUGCCACCGCCAGGAGGCCCCCAGCGAAGGCGAGACGGCGGCGCGGUACAGAACCGCGAAGGGCAGCGCCACGAGGGUGGCGAGGACGAGCGCGGCAGCGGAUCUCCAAAGUGCGUGCCUCGGGAGGCCGCUUGGGCGCCCCGCGGAGGGCGCGCUCAUCAUCAGGGCUUUGCGUGGUGGCAUGGCCAUGCCGGCCGGCGGGCCGGGAGACUGGGAGAGAGACGUCACUGCCUCAUUGGUCCGUGGCGCACCAGCGCGGGCGAUUGCGACUUGCGAAGCCUUUCCUCGGCACUUCGGCACAACGUGCACGAAACUGAACGUCCGAACCGCCGGGAUCGGAAGGCGUAAAUUACCAGUACGCCGAUGUCCUCCGGAUACGAAAACUCGGGCAAUCUUGCAAUCCCAUGUGAGGGUGAAGCAGGGAGGAUCUCUAUGGUAGAUCAGAUGAGUCUAGAUCCAACUAAUACAUGUCAUCGUGUUUCAUAGUUUGGAUGGGGUUACGAGUCACAUCUAACUCGUGUAAAAAAAAGUAGGUUAUAAGACCCACCUAGGCAGUAUGAAUAAGUCCUAAAAAAUAUCUCAUUGGAUAGACUCCUCCCCUAGUUAGAUUAAAUUUAAUGUGGAUGCUGGUUUUGAUCUCAUCACCAGAUAUACUGAGCUUGGCUUCAUUGUUAGAGAUCAUUUGGGUGAAGUUAUUUUCUUUGAUUGGUCCAGUGAUCGGCUCUGCAAAUCUGCUGAACUUUGAUAGAAAUCUGCUGUGCUCUUUUUGUCUUCCAAGGCCAUGUGUGGUUGGAAUCAGAUUGUCUAGGAAAUGCAUUUAAAGUUACUUCUCCAAAUCUUUCUUCCAGUUGUUUUAUCACUGAAGGAGUUAAAAGAAUCUUGUGUAUGUUCUAGUAUUUUAGAGUUUCUUUUUGCCACCAUAGCGCAAAUGAGAUGAUCAUGUGUUGGGUUAGAUAGGUAGGCGAGAGCUGUCUUCUGAUUUUAUUUCUAAAGGUGUUCCGAGUUGCACAUGGGCAACUUUAGAACUGAUUAUAAUGGUUUAAUGUUGAAGUAAUAUAAGUUGUCCUAUUUAAAAAAAUAAAAAAAGUAGGUCACUCACACUUUGCAAGUUCGAAGUGUUGGUUGUGGUGACUCUAAUUCAUUUCCUCACUUCUACUCACUACCACUCUCUACAUUGCCUUUCCCUCUCUCUCACUCUUCGUUUGAUGCACUACCUCUUUUUAUAUAGUACAGGACUCAUAAAGAUAAUUUUUAAUUUACACAUUAAGACAAAUACUUGACUUACACACUAAGACAAAAUCUUGAUUUAUACACUAAGUUAGACUUACUGCAAUAUAAAAAGAAGAUUUGAUCUACCUAAUAUAUAAUAAAAUUAUACUGGCAAUCUAUUUAUUUAUAUUUUUGGUUGACUUGUUUUAAGGAGUAGUUAUUAAUCUUGGGAUAAAUAAGAGACUGUGACUCUGUGAGAGCAUCUCCAAGAGUACCUCUAUUUAGCUCUUCAUCUCCAUUUUUAGAGAAUCCGAGGGAAAAUUCUCAUCUAAAACCGCUUUAUAAAAUUUUGACUCUCUAAAAUCGUUGAUCUCGCUCUCCAACAAUGGAGAGGCUGUAUGGCUCUCUAAAGGGCUGGUACAGAGAACCGAGAACUGGAGAUUUUGUUGUUGGAGCGGUAAAAGAUAGAAGGAAUGCUAUUGGGAUGACUAUCGGAGGGGUGUUUGGAUACCACCCGCUAAAGUUUAGCACCUGCCAUAUUGGAUAUUUGAUACUAAUUAGAAGUAUUAAACAUAGGCUAAUUACAAAACUAAUUGCAUAGAUGGAGUCUAAUUCGGAAGAUGAAUCUAUUAAGCUUAAUUAGUACAUGAUUUGAUAAUGUGGUACUACAGUAACUAUUUGCUAAUGAUGAAUUAAUUAGGUUUAAUAGAUUCGUCUCGCGAGUUAACUCAUGAUUCUGCAAUUAGUUUUAAUUAACGUCCGAACGUACAAUAUCCAAUAUGACAUAUCCGAACAACCCCUAAGCUCUCGGACAUACUCUGCGAGCUCGCUUUGCCCUGCUCCCUCCCGAUUCCCGGGCCAUCGCCCAACGGCUCUAUCCCGCGGCCCCGCUCCACGUUGAUGCGAGUUUAAAGCCUUCCCCAACCGCUCUUCCACUUCCCCGCCGAUCCGUUUCUCCCACCGCGAAAUCCCCUUAGAGCGAGCGAGGAGAGGCAAUUCAGAGAUCGGCGCCAUGAACGACCUCAUGACCAAAUCCUUCAUGAACUACGUCGACCUGAAGAAGGCGGCGAUGAAAGACGUGGAGGCGGGCGGCGACGGGAUCGAGCUCCCGGAGUCGGGCGCCGGCGGCGUCACGGACGAGCGCCUUCGUGGGUUCUUCCAGGAGGCGGAGGCGGUGAAGGCGGAGAUGGCGGCCAUCCGUGACGCGCUCGACCGCCUCCACGCCGCCAACGAGGAGGGCAAGUCGCUGCACCAGGCCGACGCCCUCCGCGCGCACCGCGGCCGCGUCAACGCCGACAUCGUCGCCGUGCUCCGCCGCGCCCGCGACAUCCGUGCCAGGCUCGAGUCCCUCGACCGCGCCAACGCCGCGCAGCGGAGGCUCUCGGCGGGGUCCCGCGAGGGCACGCCGCUGGACCGCACGCGCACCGCCGUCACCGCGGGGCUCCGGAAGAAGCUCAAGGACCUCAUGCUCGACUUCCAGGCGCUGCGGCAGCGGAUGAUGUCCGAGUACAAGGAGACCGUGGAGCGCCGCUACUACACGCUCACCGGGGAGGUCCCCGAGGAGGAGGUGAUCGAGCGCAUCAUCUCCGACGGCCGCGGCGAGGAGCUCCUGGGCGCCGCCGUCGCGGAGCAAGGCAAGGGCGCCGUGCUCGCCGCGGUGCACGAGAUCCAGGACCGCCACGACGCGGCGCGCGAGGUGGAGCGCAGCCUCCUGGAGCUCCACCAGGUGUUCCUCGACAUGGCCGUCAUGGUGGAGACGCAGGGGGAGAAGCUCGACGACAUCGAGAGCCACGUCGCCAACGCCUCCCAUUACGUGCAGGGCGGCAACAAGGAGCUGGGCAAGGCCAGGGAGUACCAGCGGGGCAGCCGCAAGUGGCUCUGCAUCGGCAUCAUCAUCCUGCUGAUCCUCGUCCUCCUCGUCAUCGUGCCCAUUGCCACCAGCUUCAGGAAGUCUUGAGCGAAUUGUGAUGGAGGAACAACGCUGGUGUUGUAAUCAUGAUGAUGAAGGGGUUCGAAUUCGAUUCGUUGGGUGGGUGGAAUCGGAAUGAGUAGACACACUGCGGUUGUGUCUCGUGUUGUUUGAUUUCGUAUUGUUAAUUUCAGCAUGAAUGUUUCUGUACCCAUCAGGAUUUAGCUGAUGAGAUCACCAUUAACUGCAGUUGCUAUCUGUUCCUGAGUUCGUGUACUGUAUGGCAUGAGAUUUGGUGGGCGAAACUAGAAGUUAAAAUUUAAAAUUCUAAUAUCUGUAGUGACAUGCUCAAAAUAGUGACUGAUGUCAAAUCUCAUUCGUCAGGAAAAAGGGCUUCCAUCACUGUAUUUUUCGCUGAUGCUAAAUCUCAUUGAUCAGCACAGAGAUCGAUGAUGAACAGUGAAGGCCUUCAACAUUAUUCGGCUGGUUCCUCUCAUCUGAAUCUGAGACGCCUCCUGCAACUGCAAUACACAAACUAAUUAGGCUCCGUUUGGAUACUCCUACUAAGUUUAGCACCUGUCAUAUCGGAUGUUUGAAUGCUAAUUAGAAGUAUUAAACAUAGUCUAAUUACAAAUCUAAUUGCACAGAUUGGGUCUAAUUUGCGAGACGAAUCUAUUAAGCCUAGUUAGUCCAUGAUUUGACAAUAUGGUCCUACAGUAACCAUUUGCUGAUGAUGGAUUGAUUAGGCUUAAUAGAUUUGUCUCGCGAAUUAGCACAGGGUUCUGCAAUUAGUUUUAUAAUUAACUCAUAUUUAGUCCUCCUAAUUAGCAUCCGAACAUCCGAUGUAACACUGCUAAAGUUUAGUCCCUAGUAUCCAAACACCCUCUAAAGCUUCUGGACACACUGAUGGUGUGUCUCUUCGCGUCAUUUGAUUUCGUGUUCAUUUAUUACUUGCGGCCUUACGUUUCUGUACUCAUCAGGAUCUAGCCGAUGAAAACACCGUUAAUUGCAGCACGUAUUUGUUAUUGAGUUUGUGUCAUGUAUCAUCUAUCAUGUAUGAUUUAUGAGAUUUGGUGAAGUCGGGAAACUCCGCAGUUGUGUCAGUGUUAUUUGAUUUCGUAUGCUGAAUUGUGGCUUGAAUGCUUGUAUACCAAUCAGAAUUUACCCGGUGAAAUAUAUCAACUGUAGGGCUCGCUACAUUCUCAGGUACAGCUUUUGUUCCGAUUACAAUUCACCACUUCCAGCAGCUUGGAACUAAUCAAACGGAAACACUGCAACGUACAUGCAACUUUCAUUCAGAUGAGUGGACGAAAGAUAUAUCAGGAACUUUCAAAACCACCAUGUGUCCUACCUAUAUAAACCAGAUUGGCAAUUUGUUUCUACACUACCAUGGAAUGGAAGUUGGAAGCUAUAGCUAUACUAAUUAAGAUCUAAUUUCAAAACAAGGAAGAAAGACGACGUCGGACCAUUUGAAACCACAUGCUGCUACAACUCCACUUCAGGUUUGGCUGUAGGUUCAGCUCGCUACAAAUACAUGCAUCUCCCCAAACGAUUUUCAGGCGAUUCAGGAAAGUAUAGGAGGACAGGAUCACUGUUAUUCUCAGUUCCAAUCUGACUUCUUUUGCUUCUCCUCAUUGGGCUCGUCAAGCUUCCUCUUGAAGAUAUCUGAAUUGCGAAGCCUUUCUCUAGAUUCAUGCGCUGAUGGUAUUCUCCUAUUGUGUCCAUCUCCCUGGAAAAAUUACAAAACAUGACAAUCAAAGUUUAGCUGAACAAAGAUUCCAGGAGCCUAAGAUGUGUAGUUCCUUGAUUCGGACCAUUCCAAUUGAGUCUCUCCUGUUUCCAUGGGGACCAUCCUUCUCUUUAACAGAACUAGGAAAUACCAGCUUCCAAGCUCUCUCGAUUAAGUUGAAACUUUCAAUGUCACCACUCCUGAUGCCUGCUUCUAACUGCAAGGGAAGGAAGCAUCUCAGGAAAAAGGACUCAUCUUGCAUUGAAUGGUUACAAGGAAGCUUAUGCACUGACCUGAAUAUGUAAAAUGCAGAUAAAGAUGCUAGCAAUAGGUAACCAGCUCUCAUCAGGUGACAUUGAUAAGUUAGCUCUGAAAAAGAAUGUCUGAGUUUAUCAAUCUCCAGCACAGAGAUUAAAAAACAGGAUUUUUUAAUGAAUACUCGAUUGAAUCAGAAAGCCUACUGAAAAUACAGCACGACAGGGGAGGGGGGGGGGGGGGGGGGGGGGGGCGCUGGCAGUAUACGCUAAUGAAGUUAAUAAAGUACAUAUUCCUCGGCUGCCUACGUUACCUCAAGAAAUGCAACUUGAGAACAGUUCAAUAUAACCAUUAAUUUGAUUUCUUAUGCCGCCAGCGCAGCACAAUUCAAACACACAAAAAAAAAUCAUCUUUUUGUGAAUUCUACAACUCGAAUAGCACAUAUAUGUAUUUUCACAGCAAAAGUUAUUCACAGCAGCGAAGAGUCACAGGCAGCUGGCCAUACAGAGAUGUAAAAGCUAUACAAGCUUUACAAAAGAAAGUCCAUACUCCAAAGUACACCAAUAUAGAACACAAGAUAAAUUGAUCCAAAGCAUAACAAAGGCAACACAAUUCGGUAUCUCAGGAUUCAGAAUUACAAACCACCUGAGGUAAGGAGCCAAGUAGACGGCAGCAUAGACGAGAUACCUCCGCCUCCCGCUGUCCAGCCACGCAAAGAUCCAACUCUAGUCGCACGAGGAAAACACCAAAAAUCCCAUCAAAUCAAAACAACAACGGAGAGGAGGAGUAGCAAACCCUUUGGGUCCCGCUCACCAGCCAGUUGAAGUAAGGCAGGAAGGAGAUGAUCCCCAUCACGCCCAUCCUCGUGUCCGUGGCGCCGAAAUCCCCGUCCUCCUCCACCUCUUCGCGCGCCUCCCCGCGGGGCGUGGGAGGGGGCAGCACGAGCGAGGCGAGCACGCAGGCGCCGAUGGCGGCCGCGAACGGCGCGUCCUGCUGCAGGUCCGCGCGGCAUGCCAGCGCCCGCCGCCUGGGCCUGGGGAAGAGAGGGUUAGCCCCGCAGAUGCCUCCACGGGAGGCGCCCGAGGGGUACGCGCCGCCGCCGCGUAAGCGGCGGAGGGGCGGCCGGAGGGAGGCGGCGGUGGAGGCGAGCAUCGGGGUUGGCGUUGCGAGGGAUAGAGUAGAGCGGGGCGGGGGCGAGCAGGCAGGCAGGCCAACAGGGUUGGUGAGAACAGUCUUUUCCGCCUUCAAGUGGCAUCGAAGCAAAAGUUUACGCUUUCGACAGUGCGACACGUAUAACGUUGCUCCUCCACUAGCCGUCUUGGGCCGCGGAAGAAACGCGAACGGCUGGGCCCAAAUCUUGCGCAACUUUUUAUAUUAUGCGGGCCGAGCGAGUCAGCCUUGUAAGUAACUCGGCCCGAUCCAUUGAAAAAAAAAAUCAGCUCGGUUCUUUCAAGACUGGCCUGGCCUUGUUCCCAUGCUCGCAUGGGCCCCGGCCCCACAUGGCAUGGUCGCAUUUGACUUUUGUUCAACAAGUUUGACUCAGUCACUGUGGGUGACCACCGGUGACAGUGUGACACCCCGGCCUGCGUUACAGUGAAAGCAACUUGCCUCCCCCAACCACCCCAUUACCCCAAACAGAGAAAGCCGGGGCAGAUGACGCGAAACGGGGCAGCCUUUUUGGGGUCGGUUCGUUGGUCGCUUUAGGCAGCGGACGCCAAAGCCAAGUAGCGGUGGGCUAGGGCGCUGGGCAGUCAGCGAGCGAGGCGCCAUCACCGACCACAGUCCUUCCCUGCGAAUCCUCAUCAAUUCGCCACGCCGUGAGCCGGCCUCGGCCGAUCUCGCUCGCGUCAAACCAGCGCCGCGCCAUCGUUUUCCUCCGGCGAGCCAAGGAGUGACGAGCGAGCGGGCACGGGCGCACAUGGCCGUCGGCGUUCCUUUCCCGCACCGGAAGCUUUUCUUCCAAGCGCUGCGGUCCUUCAGGAAAAAGGAGAUGGAUGCAGGCGCGCCAAGCGGUGGUGCGAAGCAGGAAGGUCGGCGGAGGCUGACGAGCGGGCCCGCCCAGCCACCGGACAGGGACCCUUCCUACACGCUACUUUUCCAUAAAGCCGGCGAGCUUCGUGGGGCAUUAACCCUUUUGCUCUCUGCUGCUGCAGUGCUGCUUGCCUGCUUCCUGGUAGCUCCCGUCAGUGCUGUUCACACCACUCACCUGCUCUGCAUCUACUCCGCUCUCGCGUCAAGUGGGCAUUCAAUUCCAGUGUGCUGUUCUUCUACAAUGCUCGCGUCGCGCGUCUGGAGGGGAAACCCGAAACCCUGCAAACUGGAAGUGGAACAGCUCGAGCAAAAAGGGCUACGGACCUAAGGGUCAAUGCGCCAUGGCUCGGCGAGGUUGCAAGUUCCUGUCGUAAAGCCUGCGGCGCGAGUACCUCUGCUGUAGAUUCGGCGAGGACAGCACUGCAUGUACGAAUCGACUUUUCCCGGUACAUUAGGCCCUGCUUGGUAGGAGGGGGCUAAAUUUUAGCACCCGUGCAUCGAAUAUUUGACACUAAUUAGAAGUAUUAAAUCUAGAUUAAUUACAAAACUAAUUACACAACUCCUAGGCUAAAUCGCGAGACGAAUCUAUUAAGCCUAAUUAGUCCAUGAUUUGACAAUGUGGUGCUACAGUAACCAUUCAGUAAUGAUGGAUUAAUUAGACUUAAUAGAUUCGUCUCGCGAUUUAGCCUAGGGGUUCUGCAAUUAGUUUUGUAAUUAGCUUAUGUUUAGUCCUCCUAAUUAGUAUCCGAUCAUCCGAUGUGACAGGGCUAAAGUUUAGCCCUCUCCUCCCAAACACCCCUAAGCCGGGAGAGAGAGAGGGGGUGAAAAACAGGAGUACCUAUGGGGUGUUUGGUUACUCCCCUAAACUUUAGCUCCUAUCACAUCGAAUGUUUAGAUACUAACUAGAAGUAUUAAACAUAGACUAUUUACAAAACUCAUUACACAGAUGGAGGCUAAACGGCGAGACGAAUAUAUUAAGCCUAAUUAGUACAUGAUUUGACAAUGUGCUGCUACAGUAACCAUUUGCUAAUGAUGGAUUAAUUAAACUUAAUAGAUUCAUCUGGCCAUUUAGCCUCCAUCUAUACAAUUAGUUUUAUAAUUAACUCAUAUUUAGUCCUCCUAAUUAACCUCCGAAUAUUCGAUAUGACACGGAUUAAACUUUAGCUCGAGCAAACAAACACCCUACGGCUCCUCACUUUAUACACUACUUAUCGAUUAACGCCCCCUAAAAAAUUCUAUGAGCUGGCUUACUAGCUCUCCCUCCCCGACCCUUUCUCGCUGACACAUCCGUACCGUACGCAGGGUAAAACAAAAGCUCUAUGUUUCUAGUCAAAUCCUACGCACUGCUACAACCAGCGCCAUGAAGCGGCAACCUCAUUGCAGAGACCAUUCUUGGGGAUAUUCUGAAAAUAUUGCUCAAAAGGGAAUGUUCUUGGAGGAGUAAACCGGACCAUGAGACGUUCAUCUAAGAACUUAAGCAUUCCGAACAAAAGCAAUACGUGGAACGUGCCACUUAUUAACCAUUUUCACAGCAAUAGCAAAUUAACAAUUCACACGAACAAAGACGAUCACAAGUUAGCUGGACCGUCCUCUUGUGACUCGUUGCCAGUCACAGGAUCUUUGAAGAAAUAAAAGCACGAUGACACAGGAGUAAAGUCAUGGACUCCCAAGGGUCCAUUCAUAUGUCUAUUUCUUCUAUAGCCAUAUGUUUUCAUCAGCAUUAGGAAAACCUUAAGCCUAACACCAUCACCAACUACUACCACAUAGAGAAUUUCACAAAAUCCCCCAAAACGAAGACCAGAACACCCAUACAAACGAACACAGCAAGCAGCAGCAGCACAAAGCUAGAGCUGCAGCCUGCAGUCCUAAACACCAGCACAGCACUCUCCUCCUCUCC
rnacentral:lncRNA from 1 species